UCUGACAAUUUAUAAAAUGACAAAAGAAUAAUAAAACAUAACAGAGCCGGUCCUGAGGGGAAGCCAGAGAUGCCACCGCUUAGGGCCCCAUUUUAAUCUGGGCCCCCGAAAUUUAGUUAAAAAAAUCCUACUAUAUAUAUAUAGAUACAUUUUUCAAAUAGAAAAUAAUAUUGCAAACAAAAAUUUAUAAGACAGAGGCCUCGAUAUUUUAUCUCGCCUAAGGCCCCGGAAACCCUAGGGCCGGCUCUGAAACAUAAUUUAUUUUAGAAAUUCAGUAAAAUUGGUCUUCCAAGAAGAAAUCCUCCUGCACCAAAAAAACCAAGUUGAAUCCGAUCAGAUACUUGUUUUCGCCGGAGCCCACUUCCACCGACUAGAUACGAAGGUAAGCUCAUCUCAUAUAUUCCAUCUAAAAUCCGAUUUCGUCCGGUUUUGGCAACUUGUUUUUUAUCAAUUUUUUCCCCGAGAACGUUUCUAUGAUUUUUCCAUGGCUAAAUCGAAUGAACUCUGAUAUUACGAAGAAAAUCCCCAAAAUCGCAUUGUCGCGAUUUUAGAGUUUCAAGAUCUUGGUGUGGGUGGCAGACCAGGUUGAUAGGGGCGAUGAUGGGGAGGAAGGCGUGCAAUUUUGUUGGAGAAGAAAAAAAUAGACCCUAUUUAGGUAAAUAAGAGGAUAUACAAGUAAAUGCACCAUAAUUAUUAAUGGUUCUAUUAUUUGACCAUUCACUAUUAAAAUUA
rnacentral:lncRNA from 1 species